AAGACUAUGAGUAGGGUCUAUUGUUAUUUGGCAGCGGUGUUCUGUAAGGUGGAGGUACUUCCCCAGGUGGGCUCUGCUUUAGAUCUGGAAUGACAUCCACUGUGCUGUGCCCUACCACACAAAGCGAGAUGACAUUCACAGUGCCCAUACUUCUCUUUUGGACGUAGUUUAAGGACAUACCCGGUUCCAA